AGUUCUCUCAGUUAAACUGUGGGGCUGGUCAAUGCAUUAUUCUCUUCGGCUCCGAGAAUUACUGUUCCCGUGAGCUGGCAGUUUUAGCUUGUAUAGACAAUUGAUAAGAAGAAAUUUGGUUUUUGGCUCCGCCAUAGAUUUAUCUCUGUUAGUAAGUUGUCUUCCAUCCUGUUUUUGCUUCUGAUAAAUGAGGAAAACUUCACCUCAUUUCUCAGAUGUAUACAUUUUAGAGUCACAUGGAGAAUAUCAAAUAACAUUUUUAAAAAUGGCUGCAUUUUAGGUGUUUGAAACACAUUUCCUAUGAAUUAACUUUAUUAUAACAUAGCACCAAGUAUUUAUUGAGUGAUUUUUCUAGGCACUGGGCUAAGUGGUUUGUAGGCAUUAUUUCAGUCAAUCUCCAGUGCAACCCUGUUAGGAGGAUAUUGUCACUGCCAUUUUAAAGGUACAGGGCAGAGAAUUUAGGCAGUUUGCUCCAGGUCACUUAGCCAAUGAGCAGCAGAGACAGGAUUUGUUCUCUGACUCUGAAGCUUGUAUUCUGGAGGUUGUUGAGUCAGUUUCUGAAUGAGUGGCUCUCUUUUUCCCAGCAAGAAAAUGAUGUCAGCCCGGCUUCCCAGCACUGGGCCUCUUGGCUUAGUCCUCUGACCCUGUGCUGCUCGAUUCAGCAGUUCCUUUCGUUACGGUCCAAACCGACAUCAGCCCAAUGAAGACUAACAGAUUUGACCCGGCCACCUCUGAACCUUCAUCUAAGGCAGAAACUGAAACAUUGAAUGGACGGGCUUGGACAGAGAACUCUGGAUCGCCUCUCUGGCUCAUUACCCCUAACUCUGGGUGACAGUCCAUGCAGCUACAAAUGCACCUUGCCAGGUGCACUCCUGAAAUGAAGCCUUCCUAGGCUCACCAUCUUCAGGAUUCUACCUGUUUUAUCUUUUCAAUCCUGAGAAGAAAUAAGGUCUCUCCCCUACAGUUCUGGAGGACAGGAGUCUGGCGCGGUCUCCGGGGGAGGUCGAGGUGAAGGCUUGCUUGUUCCCGAGGGCCCCGGGGCCAUCUGUCUCCACGUCCUUUCCAGCACCCGGAGGCCGCCUGCAUUCCUCGGUGCCUGCCUCCAUCACCACAGCCUGCAACACCGCCUCUCUUUGGCCCUUCCUCAGCGGCCACAUCACCCCUUCCUCUGUCUUCCACUUCCAUUUUUAAGGAUUUUAGGAAUGAUUACAUCAGGCCCAGCAGGGUAAUCCAGCCUCGCUAUUUUAAGGUCAGCUGAUUAGCAUCUUUAAUUCAUCUGCAAACUUAGUUCCCCUUUGCCUUACAUCCUAACAUAUUCACAAGGUUCAGGGAUAAGGACAGGAACGUAUAUGGGGGUCCUUAUCCUGCCCACCACAGGUAUUUUUAAAUAUCUAAUAUAUAUCUGUUGUUUCUUACUUGAUUAGAAAGAUGCUAUGUGUGGAAUUAAAAAGCUCUCAUCUGAAAAUUACAAUUCAAUUGACACCUCUAUCAUAGCACUUUUACAUUAUAUCAAAAUGAUCUAUUUUUUUACGUGUCUGUCUGCCUCACUAAUGUAUAUGCUUCCAUAGAGAAUAUAUCUUAUUUGUCUUUGAAUCCUCUGGACACAAGUACAGUAACCGGUGUAAAUUGAUAAUCAUACAACAAUUUCUUGUAUCAUCCUUCUUUAACCUUUAUGAAUGCCUUCCAAAACCCAACUGCAUUGGUUUAAAAAAUUUUGUCUUUCCUUUUGUAUAACAAUUGUCAUCUCACAUGCUUUAAGAAACAAAUGAUUUGUUUCAUUCUAGUAGGUGGAGAUUCACAGGAAAAAUAAAAUUACUUUCAGGUGUAUUAAAAAGAGAAAGCAGGUCUGUGAAGUUUCCUAAUAUAUAUAUAACGAGGAUUUCAUUGCAAAUGCAAAAGGAAAUUGGACAUUAUUUUCCUGGGAAACUUAGGUUCUAUUAGUGAAGUAUUUGUGGGAUGCACAAUCCAUGAAUGUGAACCAGUUAUUCCUAGUUUUGUAAUUUUUUAUUGUACUUAUUACAUCAGGAUCUGCAUCAGCACAAAUAAUCUGUCCAAUUUUUGGUAGAAGUCAAACUAUUUAUUGCAUUAUUCUGUGAAUUUGACAACAUGCACACAGUAUUCCGGGGAUGUAUCUACUGCUUUUGUUGCUUUUCUUUGUCAUUAUUCUCAUUUCAGCUUGCGCAUCUGGGUACAGAAGAGUGGAAUGAAACUAUCCUUUGACUCAUUCUCAGAUCCUCCAUGAUGAAUUGAUUGUUUGGCCAACCUAAGAAGAUGGUCCACUAAUUGGCCUAUUUACCAUAUACUUUCAGUUUACAUAUUUUUCAUUACGGCCUUGUCUUUACCGUAUGCAGUCUUCACUUCUCUUAUGUGGUUCUCUUCAUUGAUUUUUCUGCUGCUCACAGUCAGCAUCCCUUAUCCCCAUAAUCCUCACCCAAGUAGCAUUCCUUUUCUCUUAGGAACAGCAGACACAGACCUGCCUCUAAAUCAAAGGCCUCCGCUCAAGGUAAUCUCACAGCUGUUUGUGGACCCCGGGCAAAUACAGUCAUUAUUGCAAAUGCCUUCUGCUCUUCAGAAGAAAGAUUUGCCCGUUCCCUGGGACCUGCUCUGGUUAUGCCAGUCUGCGAGCGGUGACUUUGUAUGACUUAAAACUGAUCAGUAGGAUCUGUCCCUAAGGUGUGUGAGCUUGGUGGGCCAAUAAUUCUAUCAUUUCUAGUGAUGCUAGGACUGAGUUACAGUUGGAGUAACUAUUAGAACUGUUGUUUCCUCCAAUGGAAAAAGGGGAUUUAAAUAGAAUAUUUCUCCUUUUUAAAAGCAUUAAUUCAUGCUCCAUUAUUUGUUUCAAAAGUCACCCAUGAAAAUACAGACCUAAUCCAUGAUCUCACCAACUCAGACAAGCAUUUAGUGUUAUUCCCUCCAAUUUUUAUAUAACUUAUAAAUCUGGUAUAUCUGUGUGUGUGUGUGUGUGUAUAUAUAUAUGUACAUAUAUAUAUGUACAUAUAUAUAUACACAUAUAUAUAUAAGCUUUUCUGUGUAUAUCCUUUUUUUGUUAAAUAACAAAAAUGUCAUCAUGUUUACAAUCAGUGCCUCUUACUAGAAUGCUGUCACCUUGGGUGACUGUCUUCCUUAUCUUAUUAUCUGCUCUAUUCUAAUUCUUAAACUAGCAUCUAGCAUACAAUAGGUUCUCAGUAAGUAAAUAGCUAUUGAUCACCUGCUGUUAUCACUGAACACUUUGCUGCAAGUCUUUCCCACGUAAGUAACAGAGAUCCUGGGAAAAUAUGUUUAACCUAAUCUUACUUAGGAAUGUUGAGAAUGUGACUUACUAUGAACUUUCAGUUAUAAGAUGAAUAAGUUCUGGGGUUCCAACAUACAGAAUGGUGAAAUUUGCUACGAGAGUAGAUCUUCCGUGUUCUCACCACACACAGACAAAAAGAAUGGUAACUGUGAAAUGAUGGAUGUGGUAAUAGACUGAACUGUGGUAAUAAUUGCAACAGUGUGUACACAUAUUAGACCAUCAUAUUGUACAGCUUAAAUAUAUACAGCUUUUGUCAAUUAUAUCCUGAUAAAGCUGAAAAAAAAGGAAAGCAUGCCUUACCGUAUGUGUGUCAGUGGGUACACUGUCAGGGGCAUCGGAUGCACCCGUAAAGAUUUUUGAAGGACAAGGUCCUUUGCGUGCUGAGAGCUCACGCUGAGUCUCAGGGCUGCCCUUAGCCUGAAUGCUGCCUCCCCUGCACUGUAUCGCCUUCUGGGGGCCACACCCCCAGUGACUGAUAGAGACGCCUAGUCCCAGCCCUCUGUCCCACCCUGAAGGGCCGUCCUAGCUGAGAGCUCCUUGUGGGACAUCGGCUGGGGUUUCACAGCCAGUGUGACACAAUGCACCCUCUCUCUUCCCUCUACCCUCCUCCCACCCUUCCUUCCUGAGUCAUUCCUGAGAGCAAACCCCAAAUCAAUACCCAACAAGCUCUGUGUCAGAGUCUAUUUCCCAGGGAACCGGACCGGUUUGGCAUUUAGGCUGUUGCCAAGUAUUUGCAUCUGUAAACUGCUACGACGACUAGCCUUGUUCAAACACUUUUCUUCCUUCCUGAUUUAUUUACUUGGGGUAUAUUUCUAGAAGAAAAAUUUUGUUGAUCAGAGAGGAUGACCAUUUUUAAGACUUUUGAUACUAGAUGGCAAAUGGACUCCAGAAAUCUUGGCUAAUUUACCACAUCACUGGCAAUGUCUGGUGGCACCCAUCUCCCCAUCCAAUUGUCAUCCCUGGGAAUGAAUUGUUUGUUGGUUUGAUUUUAAUGUUGAUUAAUUUAAUGGGGAGGAAAAAGCUUUAUAUUUGCCGUGCAUUGAUAAUGCUAAUUUUUCUUUAGAGGAUUAUAAAUCAGUAAAAAGAAAGUCUAAUCAUGUCUAUAUAGACUCUUCUAACUUUCUCUAACAUUGUUAUUACUGACCUCUAUUUUUAUUAACUUUUUUUAAAUGUAGAGAAAUAUUUAUAUUUUUUUGGGUUAAAUCCAUCAAGUUUUUCCAUCUUUUCUCUGUGUAAACUUUGCAUUUGGAGUUUUGCCUAUGAAGCCUUUCCUCACCUCUUGCAUGUGCAUUUACUGUAACAUUUUUCCAACACUUUUUUAUUUUUAAAAUAUUUUCACCUAUUUAAAAUUUAUUUUGCCAUCAAACAGAUAAUACAAACUGGUGGCCUCAGCUGGAUUGGGCCUGCAGGUCAUUCAGCUUGUGUAGUAGGUUUAUGGUGUCCCCCGAAAGAACUUGUCCAAGCCGUCACCCCCAUACAUGUGACUGUGACCUGCUCUGGAAAUAAGAGUCUUUGUAGAUGCAAUUCUAGCAAUUAAAAUAAGUGGAUUUAAUAGAAGUGAAAGCAGUUUCUGCAUUAAAGACUUAAAAAGGUAACUCCAACCACUUAACUGGCUCUUCCCACUGAAAAUGCUAGCUGUCAGUUUUGUACCACCAAUUGCUUUUAUAUGAAACACAGAAUUCAAGUAAAGAGUCAUCUCAUCAUCACUGCUGUCGUGAGUAUCAUUUGUUGUUUGAAAAGAAUAUGUGGCAUUAGAAUACGCAAGGUAUUUGUCAGACUUGUAAACUUCUUUAAAAUGCAUGUGAAUGUCCUUUUCCUAUAGCAGUGUCACCUUCUUGAAUUUUGAAUGUACCAAAUUUGAAUUAAUAGAAAAAGGAACACCUGAGGGAGUCAUGUCUGUAGGAUACUUAAAGGUAGGCUUAAAAUGAUGAAUGUAUGAACAUGGUCAAAAAAGCCUUUUAUUUAAAUUUUUAUAACUUUUUAACUUGAAAUAAUUAUAGCUUCACAGGAAGUUGCAAAGAAAUGUCUGGGGAAGUCCUGUACCCCCUUCCCCCAGUGUCACCAUUUGAUAGACCCAUAGAACAAUAUCUACACUGAGAAACUGCCAUUGGUACAACCUACAGACUUGCCCCAGUUCACUGUUAGGUUGGCUUGCCUGGUGUGUGUGCAUCUCUACACAGUUUUACCACAUAGGUGGCUUUGUAUAACCAGCAUCACAAUCAAGAUAUUUAACUUUAGGGUCACCACAGGCUCCCUCGGGUCACCCCUGUAGAGCCACACCUAUCCUCUCCCCCAACCCCAACCCCUGGCAAUGACUAAUCUGUUCUCUAUUUCUAUAAUUAUGUCAUUUCAAGAAGGCUGUAUACACAGAAUCAUGCAGUAAAUAACCUUUGGGGAUUGGUUGUCUCAUCCAGCCUAAUUCCCUGGAGAUUCAUCCAGAGAAUGUUCCUUUUUAUUCCUGAGUGGUUUCACAUGGUAUGGAUGUACCACAGUUUGUUAAAUCAUUCACCCAUUAAAGGACACUUGGGUGGUUUCCAAUUUUUGUCUGUUACAAAUAAGUCAGCUAUGAACAUUCAUAUACAAGUUCCUGUGUGAAAAUAAGUCUUCAUUUCUGUGGGAUAAAUGUCCAAGAUUGCAGUUAUUGAGUUGUGUGGUAAGGACAUUUUUAGUUCUGAAAGGCACUGCCAAGCUGUUCUCCAGAGGGCACACAGACAAGCCAUUUAUUUAAAAUAAUCCUAUUAUGUUUUCAUCCCUUUAAAGCAUCUUUACUUUACUUCAAAGCAUCUUUGUAUCUAAGAGGCAACCGAAAUAUAAAUUUGAUCUUCUUUGCAAUCCUGUCUUCAUCUUUUAUUGCUCUGUUUAUACUUUAGUGUUCAUUUUCUCAGUUGUUUAUCUAUUAUUCUCUUAUCAUGGCUCCUUAUCACAUGGAAAAUCAGGUGCCAUAGAAACAGAAGCUGAGGUGAGAAUGCUCGUGAUUUCUAAGGUUUGACUAUUACGACGACAGCUUCUAUGCACAUCUGUGUGCACAUUGUUGGGUGGACAUGCUUUCUUUUCUCUUGGGCGAACACCAGAUGUGGAAUCACUGGGUUGUAUGGUAAGCGUAUGGUUGACUUUGGGAGAGAGCUCUCCAGAGCAGCUGCCCCGUGACGUUCCUAGCGGCGGUGUGGGAGAGCUCCGUGCUCUGCAUCCU